rnacentral:tRNA from 1 species
CGCCCGUAGCUCAGCUGGAUAGAGCACCAGGCUACGAAUUUGAGGGGGGACGUUCGAAUCGUUCCGGGCGCGCCA